rnacentral:rRNA from 1 species
ACGAGGUGUGCGAGCGUUGUUCGGAAUCACUGGGCAUAAAGGGUGCGUAGGCGGCGCGGUCAGUCGGUUGUGAAAUCCUUCGGCUCAACCGGGGAAUUGCUUCCGAUACUACCGCGCUUGAGGGUGAAAGGGGCAAGCGGAAUUCCAGGUGUAGCGGUGGAAUGCGUAGAUAUCUGGGAGAACGCCGACGGCGAAGGCAGCUUGCUGGGUCACUUCUGACGCUGAGGCACGAAAGCUAGGGGAGCAAACAG